AGAGAGUGAUCGCAGCACUUUUUCCACCCUGGUCCGGCAACCCAAGGCCUUCACCUGUUAGUGGUCGGUCGUUAACAAGUCAGGAAGACAGCACUAUGGACACUCAGAGUAGUGUUCCAAUAGACCAGGGAAACACUAGUUGAAAAUAGCUGUAAUAUCAGUGAGCCACCACACCAUUAAGACAGAGAUGGAAACACACCUUCAAGAAUUUUGGUACAUUUCUUGUGGAAGUAGUGACCAAGGACCAGGAAUUGUGGAUGGUUGCUGAGGCUCUGAUGUGUUUGCAGACGAUCAUCUGGACCUGUUGUCAUGGAGAUCAGGGUAGCAAUCAAACUCCAGACCAUAUGGUACCACAGCUGACAGCUAAGAUUAAUUAACAGAAGAGAAGCCUAUAGGAGACCACCUUCCUCUCAGGAUGACAGCAAGGACAAAUCUGGUGCAUUUCAUCAAAUGCAAAUCUUGACCAGUAGAACUAAGACACGUUUUUAUUCUCAAAGUUACUUAAAACUCAGCAGUAAUUGGGAUCAGAGAAACUAUUUAGAGUGUCACUUUUAGUUUCAUAAUUUUCUGGUGUCAAGACAGUUUUAUAUAAGAAAACACUGACAUUUAGUAUUAAUAUUUUUUCAUUCUUUUUUCCACAACUUUUAUGAUAGCCCCAUUGGAAGAUUCAUAUGUUAUAGAAAGCAACAUUAAUUUUUGGCAAUAAGAUUAUUUCAUUUUUCCCCACAACUUUAUAGUAGUCCCAUUGGAUGAUUCACGAGUCAUUGCAAGAGACUGAUAUAGUACGUAAAACUUAUUUUUGUUUACAGCCUUUUAUCAAAAUUAAAUAUCAAAAUGUGUGGGGCAGUAUUGUCUGUUUAAACUUUGACCGACUAACUAAGACAACCAAGUGAUUAAAUUUCUCUUCAGUUUG